UGGGAUGUGACAACCAGAGGCAUUUCUUACUGUGUCCACCAUGAACGGCGAGAGGCGAAUCUUAUUUUCCAAGGUGGCUGUAACAGAGUAUUCCAUCGCACAGGCUCUUCUACAAUGUGACUGGACACUCCUCCCGUGAGAGGUGGUGUUUGUGUCCCCUCCCUUACCUUUAUGUGGCUUGUGAUGGCUCUGACUAGCAGAACAGGGCGAAUGGAUCCCGGGUAACUUGGAAGGCAGCAUCCUGAAGGGCAAGGUGGCUUCCUCCUUGUUGACUGGGACACUUGCACUUGGAGCCCUGUGCUACCACAUGAAGGGUAUGAGUGCUCUGAAGCUGCCGUGCUGUGAGGAAGCCUAGCCACAUGGAGUGGCCACGUGCUCUGGUCUGCAGGGUUAGUCUUCAAGUCAUCCCAAUCCAUACCUUUAGACGAUGCUGUUCCCCAGUUGCAGGUCACCUCUGGGCUUCAAGUCUCUGCAGCUGAGUUCCUAGACAUCGAGGAGCUAACCCUGCUGUGCCCUGAUUGAAUUUCUGACCAAACGAAUACAGGAGCCUAGUCAGUGGCAAUUUUAAGCUGCUAAAUGUUGGGGUAUUUUGUUACACAGCAAUCAGUGACUGAAACACAGUGACUGAGUCUUCCUCAUCUCUGAGUUCUCAGCCCACAGCACUGGGCCCGAAACCAAGAGGGGCUAGAUAGGAUUAGCUGAGUAAAUCAGUGAGGGAAGAACUGAGUUAGCAUGUGCCCCUAGGCAGGUCUGCGUUCCUUCUGGAGCCCCCCUUCCAUCACCUAAUUGUAUGUUCACAGGAACAGACAGAGCACCAAAGCUUUUGUGGUGACUGGAUGCUCUGGAACCAGGAAACACCACCUCUUUUUCAAAGAGUCUCUGAUGUUCUUUCCUUUCUGACAAAUUAACUUUUCUGGUUUGAUUGGCAGAUUUGCCUUAUGGGGAAGUCUUUCCUCCUGCUUUGGAGGGAAAGAAACAGAGGUCUCGCCAACACCGCUGAUUCGCCUGAAGUCACACAGCUUGUCUGAGGAGAAGCAGGGGUUUGCACUCAGGUGCCUUGAGCUUUUCCCUGUCCCCGUUUCUUCCCUGUUGGCUUUACUGGGAGAAUCACCCUCUGACAACGUUUCUGAGAGGGCGUUUGAAAUGGGCUCAGCGUCGCGUCUGACUGUGGUCUCUGCACCUUAAGAGGAACAAAGAGAAUUUCCAAAGUGGUCAAGUAAGUUACAAAGGAAACCUGGAGAAUAAAUGAUCUCUGAGGAAUGUUUAGAGGAACUAGGAUGAUUUCAUUUGAAGGCUGAUUAUAUAAUGGGUCUUCAGGUUUAUGAAAGAUUGUUAGAGACGGUGGCCACCAGCUGUUCCUCAUCUCCACUCUGGACCGGAGAGGAGGAAAUUGGCCUAAGCUGCAGCCUGAGGGUGUCUAUAUGGAAGAAUUUCCUGACACUGGAAUGGGCAGGAAAUAAAAAAAAGCAGGCCCUUUUUCUGAGGACACCAAAUGGAGACCAGAGUCGUCUCGGUGUGUGUGGGCUUUUUAGCAGCCAAUUAAUCGGGCUCACUGGGCGUGUGCCUUGGGAUUUUGUCUCUAGAAGCUCUCCGGGUUGCAGGGGAACGUUGCAGGACUCUCUCUGACAAUAGCCCCAAUGGAGCUAUGCCCCCAUGAUAGCCCAGUACCCCUUCCUAAUGACAGACCGUGCCGAGCACCAGGGCAUGUGCGUACGUGCAUGCCAGCCCUCUGCCCCUGGCCUUUGCUAGCCCCUAACCCUGGGGCUAAGGGUGUCUCCUGGGUUUCUGGGGAGGGAGCAAUGAAUCAUCUACGAGUAGGUCUAGCAGAGUGCCUGGCACGUAGUUGGCGCUCAGUGAAUCAUAGUCCUCUGCUCCCACCACCCAAAUCUCUAGAACUUAUGUGAAGUCUAAAUAAGCUCCGUUUUUUGACAGUAAAAUUAUUUGAUUUUGAGUUAAGUUCCACAAGGUUCAACAAGGUUAAGGUCUGCAAGGUUCAAGGGGUACAACUUAAAUCUGUGCUCUGGGGAUUUGCUGAGUGAGUUCAUCUCCAAACCCGCAUCUACUGCAGACCGUGGAUCUCUGCUCUCAGCCCAAAGUGUCUGGGUGCUGGCAGAGCUCCCUCACCCGCCACUCCCGUCAGUCCAGCCAACCAGUCCCCUCCGGGUCUCUAGUCCUCCUUAGACACCCGGGAGGCCCCAAGUUAUCUUACAUCAUGCUGGCUUCCACCCCAGUUCCUCCACGGACUUGCGCUGUGACAAGUGGCCUCGGAUAAGUCAUUAACCUUCCGGCGCCUCGGUUUCCUCAUCUGUGAGGUGGGAAGGACAGUCGUGCAGCCCUGCGGUAUGGAUGGAAGCAGAUAAGGUGUGGAAGGCACCUGACACAAGGCCUCGUGUGCAACUGCCAAAUGAAUGUUGAGACGAGGGCCAUGUUUGGGGAUUGUUUCCAACUCUCGGCCAUACCUGAACCUCUUAGGAUCACUUCCUGGGUCCAUCAGACUCUGGAGAUUUAUCAGACAACCUGAACUGGCCUGUGGAGGGACCCUCUUCUCUGCCCAAGUCCUUUCUCUGACCAGACAGAUGGAACGUCCUCCCCGUUGGCAGAAGCGUUACAAAGGGAGCGUCUGCAACCUCCUCUGCGGCCUUAGUUUCCCCGGAGCAGCUAAUCUGAUUGGCCAGCGCUGGCGCCAGGAGGUGGGGGCACGGAUGUCUUACUGCGCAGGCAUGUGGCUGGCCUCUGGCUGGCCGUGUUUUCUGCAGACUUCUUUCUCGCCCGAGGUGCCUUCAGAGUCCCUCACCCAUUCUUCCAGGACACCCAGUCUUCCAGGAAGCCAGCCUUUGCGGGCUGAAUAGAUGCUUCCUUAGCCAGUAAUUAAGCCAGAGUUCCUCAGAUUCGGCACUAUUGACAUUUUGGGUGAGAAAAUUCUUUCUUGCAUACUUUGUAGGAUGUUUAAGCAGCAUCCCUGGCCCCAAGUAUUAGAUGCCAGUAGCAUUCCCCACCUCAGCUGUUACGGCCAAAAAUGUUUCCAGACAUUGUCAAACGUCCCCUGGGGGGCUGAGUGCCGCUGAAUGAAGCUGAGGCUGUGAUCCGCGUGUAGGAAGCGAGCCUCAAUCAGAGGUUUGGGUAGUGAGUCCUAUCAGACCUCAAAGGAGAGAGAAGGGAAUUCUUUUCCACUAACCCUUAAACUCUUCAACUGUGCUGCUGGGUGGCUAAGUGAGAGGCCUUCUUUAGUUUCUUUAUAGCGAGAGAGAAACAGAGCAAGAAAUAGAGAGUGAAAGGGAGAGAGGCAGAAAGGGAAACUGAGGCAGGAGCCAGCAGCAAGUGACUUCCAUGAAAUUCCCAAGGGCACUCGGUGUGCAGGAACAGAGGAGCCAGCAGGGCGGGGCUGUGGGGGCCGCCCUGGGCCUGGGUAAAUAUGCUCUGUGGAGAGGACGGGCUGGCAAGUAAAUAUAGUGACCAUCUCCACAGCAGUUCCUGGGGCGGCUGAAGUGCGGGGAAGGACACACAGCCCAUUGUACAGAAACCACAUUUUUUUUCUCCCUCUGUCUCCUUAUCCAGCCGGUCUCUGCAACUGCCCUGGCCAGUGCUCCCCUGUCCAGACCUCUGCCCUGGGUCAUCCCCCGCCACCAGCCGCCCCAGUCAGUCCCAGGUACUCAGUGCCGGGGCUGGAACCGAGGCCAUGGAGAUGGAGGCAAAGGAAACGAGCCUACCCCGUCCUGGGCCGCUGAAAAUAAUCACGGCCUUUUCAAAGGCCGACUUCCCCUGGUGCCAAGGCAAGAACUGUCUGUCUUGCCACCUUUCAGUUCUUGUUAAAAAGCAGAAGGCAUGUCAGGGCCGGGCCGGGCCACAGCACAGAGAGGGCUUUCUUCACAGCCCUGGACGGAGCUCAGCGCUCUAAUGAAAGCACUUAUUAGCCCCAGCUGGCAUGCCAUUUUCCUGAGCUGGAAUAAAAAAUUGCCUCAGUCAUCCUUUCCCAGGCUAAUUUCAAAAGCAUAAUUACCAUCAUCGUAAUUGAUUACUAUUUAUUUUGGUCAUUAAUCGUCAUGCAACCCCUUGUUACAUGUGGAUGAAAUGAUCCAGUGAUAUUUACGGCACGUG
rnacentral:lncRNA from 1 species